CCAGCUCUUGCCGCCGCCUCGGUCGCGAUGGGGGCGCAGGACCGGCCGCAGUGCCACUUCGACAUCGAGAUCAACCGGGAGCCGGUUGGUCGCAUUAUGUUUCAGCUCUUCUCAGACAUAUGUCCAAAAACAUGCAAAAACUUCCUUUGCUUGUGCUCAGGAGAGAAAGGCCUUGGGAAAACAACUGGGAAGAAGUUAUGUUAUAAAGGUUCUACGUUCCAUCGUGUGGUUAAAAACUUUAUGAUUCAGGGUGGGGACUUCAGUGAAGGUAAUGGAAAAGGUGGAGAAUCAAUUUAUGGUGGAUAUUUUAAAGAGAAUGUGGUCUUUUGCAAAAUGAAAAGAUGAAAACUUUAUUCUCAAACAUGACAGAGCGUUCCUUUUGUCAAUGGCAAAUCGAGGGAAACAUACCAAUGGUUCCCAGUUUUUCAUAAAGAGUGUUACACCGUGCGCUCCAAAGGUAAUGUCUCAUUACUCUAAGGCUCUCUCUUUCUUUGCCUUUAUCUCUUUAAUUCUGUUGUUAUGUGCAUUGAAACAUUUUAAGAAAAAAAAAACUUUCUGCUUUAUCUGUAUAGCAGCAGUACAUGUAAAACAAGUGCAUUUUAUUUUUCAUGGUUAAUCCUGGGAACUAUAUUUUAACUUCAGUGGCUUGUUUCCACCAAGUUCCUGUACAUCUUCUGGUGGGGGAGUGGGGUUAUUA
rnacentral:sRNA from 1 species